GACGAACGCUGGCGGCGUGCUUAACACAUGCAAGUUGAACGGGCAUACAUGGAAGCUUGCUGAAGUGUAUGUUAGUAGCGGACGGGUGAGUAAUGCAUGAGAAGCUGCCAUUGGGAGGGGGACAACAGUUGGAAACGGCUGCUAAUACCCCGUAUGCCGAAAGGUAAAAGGGAGCAAUCCGCCUGAUGAGGUGCUCAUGUCCUAUCAGCUGGUUGGUGGGGUAACGGCCUACCAAGGCGACGACGGGUAGCCGGCCUGAGAGGGUGAACGGCCACACUGGAACUGAGAUACGGUCCAGACUCCUACGGGAGGCAGCAGGUGGGGAAUAUUGGGCAAUGGGGGAAACCCUGACCCAGCGACGCCGCGUGAGGGAAGACGGCCUUCGGGUUGUAAACCUCUUUUGUACGGGAAGAAGGAAGUGACGGUACUGUACGAAUAAGUCCCGGCUAACUACGUG
rnacentral:rRNA from 1 species